UAAGGUGGUUAUAGCAAUAGGGCUCACCUCUUCCCAUUCCGAACAGAGAAGUUAAACCUAUUUGCGCAGAUGGUACUGCCGUUAUGGUGGGAGAGUAUGUCGCCGCCUUCC
rnacentral:rRNA from 1 species